UUUCUUCGGAAUGAAGAUUUUGUGACUGAGUGGCGGACGGGUGAGUAACGCGUGGGUAACCUGCCUCAUACAGGGGGAUAACAGUUAGAAAUGACUGCUAAUACCGCAUAAGCGCACAGGAUUGCAUGAUCCGGUGUGAAAAACUCCGGUGGUAUGGGAUGGACCCGCGUCUGAUUAGCCAGUUGGCAGGGUAACGGCCUACCAAAGCGACGAUCAGUAGCCGACCUGAGAGGGCGGACGGCCACAUUGGGACUGAGACACGGCCCAAACUCC
rnacentral:rRNA from 1 species